rnacentral:rRNA from 1 species
GAUGAACGCUAGCGGCAGGCUUAACACAUGCAAGUCGAGGGGUAUGCCGAUUUAUCGGCAGAGACCGGCGCACGGGUGCGUAACGCGUAUGCAAUCUACCUUUCACAGAGGGAUAGCCCAGAGAAAUUUGGAUUAAUACCUCAUAGUAUAGCAAUUUCGCAUGAAACCACUAUUAAAGUUCCAACGGUGAAAGAUGAGCAUGCGUCCCAUUAGCUAGAUGGUAAGGUAACGGCUUACCAUGGCUACGAUGGGUAGGGGUCCUGAGAGGGAGAUCCCCCCACACUGGUACUGAGACACGGACCAGACUCCUACGGGAGGCAGCAGUGAGGAAUAUUGGUCAAUGGACGCAAGUCUGAACCAGCCAUGCCGCGUGCAGGAUGACGGUCCUAUGGAUUGUAAACUGCUUUUGUACGAGAAGAAACAACAUUACGUGUAAUGUCUUGACGGUAUCGUAAGAAUAAGGAUCGGCUAACUCCGUGCCAG